GUCUCUUCGGGGAUGAUUAAACCGGCGCACGGGUGAGUAACACGUGAGUGACCUGCCUUUUAGACUGGAACAACUUACCGAAAGGUGAGCUAAUGCCGGAUGAGUUAUAUAAGUGCAUGUUUAUAUAGGAAAAGUUGGGGAGACCUGACGCUGAAAGAUGGACUCGCGUCCCAUUAGCUAGUUGGUAGGGUAAUGGCCUACCAAGGCGACGAUGGGUAGCCGGCCUGAGAGGGUGGCCGGCCACACUGGGACUGAGACACGGCCCAGACUCCUACGGGAGGCAGCAGUGGGGAAUUUUGCGCAAUGCUCGUAAGAGUGACGCAGCGACGCCGCGUGAAUGACGAAGGCCUUCGGGUCGUAAAGUUCUUUCGACAGGGAAGAAAAUGCCUAUAAGUAACUGUGUAUGUAUUGACGGUACCUGUAUAAGCAGCCCCGGCUAACUCCGUGCCAGCAGCCGCGGUAAUACGGAGGGGGCGAGCGUUGUUCGGAGUGACUGGGCGUAAAGAGCACGUAGGCGGUGUUGUAAGUCAUUAGUCAAAGACUAGAGCUCAACUUUAGUAAGGCUAGUGAUACUAUAAUACUAGAGUAUCAGAGAGGAUUGCAGAAUUCCUGGUGUAGCGGUGAAAUGCGUAGAUAUCAGGAGGAAUACCGUUAGCGAAGGCGGCAAUCUGGCUGGAAACUGACGCUGAGGUGCGAAAGCGUGGGUAGCAAACAGGAUUAGAUACCCUGGUAGUCCACGCUGUAAACGAUGGAUGCUAGGUGUUGGGCUUUUAAGUUCAGUGCCGC
rnacentral:rRNA from 1 species